AUACCAUGUUGGGGACACUUUCGGAGUAGUCCCUUAAAUCUUUCCCAUGCUUCAUACAAGGUUUCACUUUCUUUUAGUUCAAAAGAAGUGAUUUCUGCUUUGAGCCU